rnacentral:rRNA from 1 species
AGUGAACGCUGGCGGUAGGCCUAACACAUGCAAGUCGAACGGCAGCACAGUAAGAGCUUGCUCUUACGGGUGGCGAGUGGCGGACGGGUGAGGAAUACAUCGGAAUCUACUUUUUCGUGGGGGAUAACGUAGGGAAACUUACGCUAAUACCGCAUACGACCUACGGGUGAAAGCAGGGGAUCUUCGGACCUUGCGCGAUUGAAUGAGCCGAUGUCGGAUUAGCUAGUUGGCGGGGUAAAGGCCCACCAAGGCGACGAUCCGUAGCUGGUCUGAGAGGAUGAUCAGCCGCACUGGAACUGAGACACGGUCCAGACUCCUACGGGAGGCAGCAGUGGGGAAUAUUGGACAAUGGUCGCAAGCCUGAUCCAGCCAUACCGCGUGGGUGAAGAAGGCCUUCGGGUUGUAAAGCCCUUUUGUUGGGAAAGAAAAGCAGCAGGUUAAUACCCCGCUGUUCUGACGGUACCCAAAGAAUAAGCACCGGCUAACUUCGUG